UUAAAAAUUGUUUAUCUUGCCGUCAUUCAUGCCAGCCGCCCUUAAGAUGUAUUCUAAUGUUCCAGCUCAACAAGUCACCCCAGGUCCUUAAAUGUAUUCUAAUGUUCCGGAUGAACAAGUCACCCCUGGUCCUAAUUUGCAAUAUGUUGACCAUAAAGCAACUCCUGAUGCUAAAAUGGGCUUCUCUCUAUAUGAAAGGUUACUUCGGAAAAGAACUGCACCAGUUAUCCAUGAAACUCAUGGAAAUUUCCCUUCUUUCGAUUUAUUGGAAGAAGACAAUGCAAACAUUCAGAUCAAAUCUAUUCCUCGCCAGCAUCAAAACUGAAAGCAAUUGAUCCUAUCUUACAUAUGGCUCUUCAGUAAGUUAAUGUGGGGAAGAAACAUUAGGAGGCCAAAGUAGUGUCAAGUUAUCUACUCCAUUCAUUAAAAGCUGUACAGUGAAGAUGACUGUAGUUCAAACUCCAGAACAAUUUAUUUUUGCAACUUCAUUCGAACAUGAGUUUUACACCACACUGACAACCACCAACCAGGAUAACAGAAAUCUCCACCAAGGCAGGAACACAGCAGCAGCUAUCCAGGAGAAGCUACUCCAGCAAGGCAAGAAACGUAAUAGAAGCUUCGAAAGUUGAGUUUCAUUUAGCCAAGACCAGUAUUUCUUGGCAGGUGUAUUAGACCAUCAUAACAAAUGGGCAUGUGCUGUUUUAUGAAGUGAUAAACAUGAUUCAGUGUACCAGACCAAAAAUUGUACCGGACCAAAAAUUUCGGUCCAGUUUUUGUAAAAUCAUACUAUCAAAUUUUCCUCA